rnacentral:sRNA from 1 species
GCCAGGUGUGGUGGCCCACACUUGUAGUUCCCACUGCUUGGACUAAGGCAAGGAAAUUGCUUGAGCCCAGGAGUUCAAGGCCAGGCUGGGCAACAUAGUGAGACCCUGUCUUGU